AUGUCCUCCAAAUCAAGAAAUCAAAGAGGACACACCCCAUUAUGCUCACCUUCAAUAAUUCCACGCUUUCCUACCUCCACUUUAGUAGGUAAUCUAUUCAAGAGAAUUCCCCAACCAAAAAUUACCAGCACCUUGCUACGAACCUUGGUUUUCCACAACAACCGCAAAUCCACUUUCAAACCGGGAUGUAUAAACAGAUCCGGAUGA